AUGUACUUAGUGUUCGCGAUUGACUUCCACGGUGAAGGAAUAAUUGUCAUCGUGUCAUAAAAAUAAGUCGCGAAAUUAUAACUUGCGUAAUUGCUAGUGUGUGUGAGUAACAAGUGUAUGACGAAACAGAAAUACUGUUUACUGGUGAUAGGUCGUCUUGUGAGUCCGCACGGGUAGGUACCACCACCCGGCCUCUAUUUCUGCCGUGAAACAGUAAUGCGUUUCGGUUUGAAGGGUGGGGCAGCCGUUGUAACUAUACUUGAGACAUUAGAACUAAUCUCAAGAUGGGUGGCGGCAUUUACAUUGUAUAUGUCUAUGGGCUCGGGUAACCAUUUAACACCAGGCCGUCCCUGAGCUCGUCCAACCAUCUAAGCAAUAAAUAAAUAAAAAACUACAUAUGAGUCGACUAUUAUCAAAGCCGGCAAUCUGACUUUUGGAAAAUUAUUGGUAAAUCAGAAAAACGAAUUAUUGACUUUGUAUUCCAUUGGCAGUCACAAAACUCUUCGGAACGACAUCUUAGAUAAAUAACAGGUUAACUAUUAACCUUUAUUUAAUGCAGGUUUUGAACCGUAUUCUUUGACGAUUAUAUUCAAAUCAAUCUGUAUUGACAUAUCAAUAACAUUUUUUUUGUCCAAAUGCACAGAUUGCCACCUUUGAUAAUAGACGACUCAUAUACUACUUUUACUAUACUAUACUACUUUUUACUUUGACAGAAAUAAAAAUAUUUUAUAAUAAUAAAAAACUGCGAAUUCAAACUAUACAAGUAAUUUGAAUUAGCACCAGCUCAAGAUUAUAAAACAAAAUUAUAUCUUUGCCUAUAUUUGUGACUCAAUAGAUAUAAAAAUGUAAACUAGCAGUGUAGCUAGUGGGGCAGCCGUUGUAACUAUACUGAGACCUUAGAACUUAUAUCUCAAGGUGGGUGGCGCAUUUACGUUGUAGAUGUCCAUGGGCUCCAGUAACCACUUAACACCAGGUGGGCUGUGAGCUCGUCCACCCAUCUAGGCAAUAAAAAAAAAAUAAAAAAUAAAAACCUUUUUACUAAGACAGACAAUUGUUUCUGGUUUUUUUCUUCGGGUGACGUCGAGUGUGAACACAAGUGUCUUCGAAGUUUCCCGGUGUUUUAAUUAAUAUUAUUUGUUUAAAUUGCUGUUGACUUGCGCUACUGAUUCGUGUUGGUGUUGGUAUAUAUCUGUUGUGCCGUGAGUGUAAAUAUAUUGUGUUUGUUAUAUUAUUAAAAGGUUAGUAAUUCAACAGUUGAUUACUUUGUAAAAUAAUAAUAAUUAAAAUUGAUGUGA